rnacentral:rRNA from 1 species
UACGGAGGGGGCUAGCGUUGUUCGGAAUUACUGGGCGUAAAGCGCACGUAGGCGGCUUUGUAAGUUAGAGGUGAAAGCCCGGGGCUCAACUCCGGAAUUGCCUUUAAGACUGCAUCGCUAGAAUUGUGGAGAGGUGAGUGGAAUUCCGAGUGUAGAGGUGAAAUUCGUAGAUAUUCGGAAGAACACCAGUGGCGAAGGCGGCUCACUGGACCGUAGUUGACGCUGAGGUGCGAAAGCGUGGGGAGCAAACAGG